GCCGGGUGCUGUGGCGUGCAUCUGUAAUCUAGCUACUUGGAGGCUGAUCUCUCGAAUGGCUUGAGUUCGGGACCACUGCAGUGCAGUCUCCUAUGUCGAACGAGCGUCCACAAGUCUCAAAAUGAGCAGUAGUGGAAUAGGAGUAGGCUGAUCUCUCGAAUGGCUUGAGUUCGGGACCACUGCAGUGCAGUCUCCUACUAAGCUCAAUGUCAACAUGGUUAUUAUGUAGGAAUGCAAGAUAUACCAGGUUCGAUAAUGAAGAACGCAUUGGCCCAGGGCGGAAACGCAGUAGGCAAAAGUUCUCACAAUGAGCAGUAGUGGGAUAUCGCUUGGGAGUGACGUUGUGCUGUAACUUAAACAAUACAGUCGAACGAAGAUCUUU
rnacentral:SRP_RNA from 1 species